rnacentral:rRNA from 1 species
CCUACGGGAGGCAGCAGUGAGGAAUAUUGGUCAAUGGACGGAAGUCUGAACCAGCCAUGCCGCGUGCAGGAAGACGGCUCUAUGAGUUGUAAACUGCUUUUGUACAAGGGUAAACCUGAAUACGUGUAUUCAGCUAAAAGUACUGUACGAAUAAGGAUCGGCUAACUCCGUGCCAGCAGCCGCGGUAAUACGGAGGAUCCAAGCGUUAUCCGGAUUUAUUGGGUUUAAAGGGUGCGUAGGCGGAUUGAUAAGUUAGAGGUGAAAUGUCCGAGCUUAACUCGGGAACUGCCUCUAAUACUGUUGAACUAGAGAGUAGAUGCGGUAGGCGGAAUGUAUGGUGUAGCGGUGAAAUGCUUAGAGAUCAUACAGAACACCGAUUGCGAAGGCAGCUUACCAAUCUAUAUCUGACGUUGAGGCACGAAAGCGUGGGGAGCAAACAGGAUUAGAUACCCGAGUAGUC